rnacentral:rRNA from 1 species
AUUGAACGCUGGCGGCAGGCCUAACACAUGCAAGUCGAGCGGAUGAGGGGAGCUUGCUCCUUGAUUCAGCGGCGGACGGGUGAGUAAUGCCUAGGAAUCUGCCUGGUAGUGGGGGAUAACGUCCCGAAAGGAACGCUAAUACCGCAUACGUCCUACGGGAGAAAGCAGGGGACCUUCGGGCCUUGCGCUAUCAGAUGAGCCUAGGUCGGAUUAGCUAGUUGGUGGGGUAAUGGCUCACCAAGGCGACGAUCCGUAACUGGUCUGAGAGGAUGGUCAGUCACACUGGAACUGAGACACGGUCCAGACUCCUACGGGAGGCAGCAGUGGGGAAUAUUGGACAAUGGGCGAAAGCCUGAUCCAGCCAUGCCGCGUGUGUGAAGAAGGUCUUCGGAUUGUAAAGCACUUUAAGUUGGGAGGAAGGGCAGUAAGUUAAUACCUUGCUGUUUUGACGUUACCAACAGAAUAAGCACCGGCUAACUUCGUGCCAGCCGCCGCAGUAA